UUCUUCAGCCGGUUCAACUCCGUCUCUCUUU
rnacentral:sRNA from 1 species